ensembl:lncRNA
GCCACGACACACACCAAGGAACACCACACACGCACACCAGCCAUGCACGUUUAUUAGAGUUUUCAAAGCAUUUAUUGCUCAAGGUAAUUCAAAUCUGUUAAAGUGGAAGCUGCGAGUCAGUGGCGGAUUUCUAGCUGCUGCUGUGGGAAGACACAAAUCAGGCUGCUUGAAAGGCAGGAGGGAAAUGUGCUUUUGUUCACCUGCAGUGGUCAUCUGUUCCUCCUCUGGACAGCAUAGCUUGGGCAGAUGCUUGGAGAGAGGACCUGUUCAUUUCCCCCUAUAAAGACAGGAGAGUCAUGUCCCAGAAGCAUCAAGGCUGCCUGCUGAUGGACAUGCAUAAGGCAGGGACAGACAGAAAUGUCUCUCCACCAAGGGUGUCCUCAGUCUGUGCCAGACACUUGGUCUGCAGCAAGUGCUGCUCCCUGAGCACAUCCAAGCCCUUUCUGCUGCCCCUUUCUGUCUCUCACCAGUGCUGCCAGUGGACACAGGACUUCUUGCUAAACAGCAGACACCUGCCUGCACAGCCCCUGAUACCCUCAGCCUUGACCCCAGUCCCAGCAGGUCCUGGCUCUUCCCAGCACAUUGGGAUUGAUCCCUUUCCCUAAGUCCAGGUGCAUUCAGACCAGGGAGGAGUUAAUGGGCUGCUUUGGCUUCAGAGAAACCUCAGGGUACAGCCCUGUGCUCCCACCCCACACAUCUCAGCUCCCCUGCCCUCCCCACUCACCAGCUUCAAAAGCGAAGUCAAAAGAUCCUGCGCGGUUCCUCCUUGCAGCCAUUCUCAUCCUUGAACCAUUUGCUGCUACUGCAGGGAGAAAAGCACAGCAUUAGGGUCCUCUCUGUGACCCACAUCCCCCCCUGCCACCAGCACCAGAGCCAGUCUCCCCAAAAGCACCCAGGGAGCAGAGCAGGGAGCGAGGGCUGGCGGUGCAGGUGUGGGGACACCCCAUGGGCAGCAGGAGAGGAGCAGUGUGCAGGGCUGCAGCAGCAGGGGCAGACAGAUUUCCAGGCAGUGACCAGUGCUGCCCCUUCCGUCUCAGCAGCACCACCAGUGAAGCCCAGCACAGCUCAUCCCAUGCCAGAGGCUCACCUACAAGUCCAAUACCUACGACGAGUCCCACAAACAAGACAAUGGCAGCUGGGAGAAAGGCUAAGAAGGAAAAGAACAGAAGAACAGGAGUGAGGGCACUAGAGCUCCUCCCGGCUGCAGCCCAGUGCCCUGUGCCAGGCAGGGCAGGGGCCCGAGGGCAGCAGCAGCUCUCCCAGCCCCACCCUCCUUCAGCCCUGCAGACACCCAGCAGGAGAGGGGAGAAGGGGAACCCCAGGGUCCCCGUGCCCCAACCCCGGCCCCUGAUCAGCUCCACAAUCAGGGCCCACACCCCUGAUCCCCCAAACCACAAAACUUACCCAUGGUGGGCUGGGCAGGAGCGAGAGCUGAGAUGAGUCAGCUCUAGGCCUGGUCCCUUGGGAAGCAAGAACAAGGCAGGCAGGUGGGGUCAGCGGGGCUUUGCUGCCCUGAAUGUUCCCCCAUUCCACUCCUCUCCCACUCAGCACGCCCUGGUCCCCUCCCCUCACAAGAAGAGACCCCUCAGUCCCCACCCAGGCUCCUGCCCAGCCCAUCACUCGGUCACCCUGUGCCGGUGCAGCGAGGUGAGCAGCCCCUCGUUACUGUCCCCCCUCAUAGGAAGGGUGCUGUGCCCAAAAACCCACCCUGGGAGCGCUGCACCACACACCACCAACCCCUCCCGUGUCUGUUGUUCUCUGAGAAGCCAAGGGCGGGCCGGAAACAUUGAGCUAGGAGAUAUCCGGUCUUUGAGAAUUUUCUAGAACCGCUUGCUGGGUUUGACUUUCUAUUAACUCUUGAUGUUGCUGCCUGUGCCAGGGCAGGGCUGGGGUUCCCCUGUCCUCGGGGUCAGACCCUGGCAGUGUCCCCCAGGGAGCCCUUUCACUCCGACCAGCACGGGAGGUGCAGGAGCUGAGGGGGAAGGAUGAGCCGGGCUGGGGGCUCCUCAGGCUGUGCCAGGGCUCCUGUGGCUUCAGGGGCAUCUCCCGAGCAGGUUUGGGACCUCUGAAACUCCUCGGCUCUAACACACACCCACAGCAGUCUGGAGGGCCGAGCUGCAGCCGCUCUGCCUGCCUCAAAACCCAGCCAAAGCCCAGCUCUGCACCCUCGUUUCUCCCCCUGCCUGCACCCAUUCCUCAGCCCGAGCCCGCUCAGGGCAGCACGGUGGCAGCGGCGAGGGGCAGCGGGUGCUGU